ensembl:lncRNA
AAAAAAUCUAAAUUUUUCCCAAAAUCCCCCCAAAAUUUUCCCAAAUUUCCCCCAAAAACCCCAUUUUUUUCCAAAUUUUUCCCAAUUUCCCCCAGAGAAAAACCCAAAUUUCCCAAAAACCCCCAAUUUUUUUCUCAUUUUUCCCAACCCCCCCCAAAUCUUCCCAAAAAACCCCACAUUCCAUCCAAUUUUCCCCCCAAAAUCCACAAUUUCCCCACAUUUUUUCCCCAAAAAAUCCAAUUUUUUUUCCAAAAUCCCCAAAUUUUCCCCAAAACUCCCCAAAAAUCCCAAUUUCCCCCCAAAUUGACCCAAAAAUCCCUAUUUUCCCCAAGUUUUCCCAAAGAAACCCAAAUUCCCUCCAAUUAUCCCCAAAAAUCCCAAUUUCCCCAUUUCCCCCCCAAAAAAAUCCCGAUUUUCCACAUUUUUCCCCAAAAAAACCCAAAUUUUCCCCCAAAAAUCCCAAUUUCCCCACAUUUUUCCCAAAAAACCCCAAAUUUCCCCCCAAAAACCCCAAAUUUCCCCACAUUUUUCCCAAAAACCCCAAAUUUCCCCCCAAAAAUCCCAAUUUCCCCACAUUUCCCCCCCAAAAAAAUCCAAAUUUUUCCCAAAUUUUUCCCAAACUCCCCCCAAAAACCCCAUUUUUUCCCCUCAAUUUUCCCCCAAAAAAUCCAAUUUUUUCCCAAUUUUUUCCCAAUUUUCCCCUAAAAAAACCCAAAUUUUCCCCAAAUCCCCCAAAUUUCCCCCAAAUUUUCACCUUCCAGGGCUUCCACCAGGUCUCCUCCUCCUCCUCCUUCCUCUUCCUCUUCCUCCCUCCCCGCUCUUCCUCCCGCUCCCGUUUUCGCCGUUUUUCCGCCCAUUUCGCCAGCGGCAAAUCCUCGGAAUCCUCCGAACCCGACGCCGACGAUUUUUGGGGCAAUUUCGGGGAUUUUUGGGCCAUUUUGGAGGUUUUUUCUUCCUCCUCCUCUUCCUCGCUCUCAAAUUUCAAUUUUUUGGUCGAUUUUUGGGUCAUUUUUGGUGUUUUUUUCUCGAUUUUUCCCAUUUUUUUCCCAUUUUUCUUCCGUGGAUCUUCCUCUUCUUCCUCCUCGUCUUCCUCCUCCUCUUCCUCACUCUCAAAUUUGGAUUUUUUGGUCGAUUUUUGGGUCAUUUUUGGCCUUUUUUCCUCGAUUUUUCCUGUUUUUUUCCCAUUUUUCUUGCCUUGAUCUUCCUCUUCUUCCUCCUCAUCUUCCUCCUCCUCUUCCUCACUCUCAAAUUUGGAUUUUUUGGCCAAUUUUUGGGUCACUUUUGGCCUUUUUUCCUCCAUUUUUCCUGUUUUUUUCCUGUUUUUCUUGCCUGGAUCUUCCUCUUCUUCCUCCUCAUCUUCAUCCUCCUCUUCCUCACUCUCAAAUUUGGAUUUUUUGCCCAAUUUUUGGGUCAUUUUUUGGGAUUUUUCCUCUAUUUUCCCCCUUUUUUUCCAAUUUUUCCUGCCUGGAUCUUCCUCUUCUUCCUCAUCUUCCUCAUCCUCUUCAUCCUCCUCUUCCUCACUCUCAAAUUUCGAUUUUUUGGUGAAUUUUUGGGUCAUUUUUUGCCUUUUUUCCUCCAUUUUUACUGUUUUUUUCCCAGUUUUUUUGCGUGGAUCUUCCUCAUCUUCCUCCUCUUCUUCAUCCUCCUCUUCCUCACUCUCAAAUUUCGAUUUUUUGGCCAAUUUUUGGGUCACUUUUUGCCUUUUUCCCUCAAAUUUUCCCGGCUUUUUCCCAUUUUUCCUGCUUGCUUCUUCCUCCUCAUCUUCCUCCUCCUCUUCCUCGCUCUCAAAUUUCGAUUUUUUGCCCAAUUUUUGGGUCAUUUUUUGCCUUUUUUCCUCAUUUUUCCCCGUUUUUUUCCGGUUUUUUCGGUCUGGCUCUUCCUCCUCCUCUUCCUCCUCCUCACUCUCAAUUUUCCUCCUUUUCCCCCCCAAUUUUUCCCAUUUUCCCCCUUUUUCCUCCUCAGUUUUCCCAAAUUUCCCAGAUUUUUCCCCAAUUUUCCCUUUACUCACCCCAAUUUUCCCCCUCUCCCCUUCCUCUUCCUCCUCAUCUUCCUCACUCUCAAUUUUCCCCCUUUUUUCCCCAUUUUUCCCCAUUUUUUCCUCAUUUUUCCCCCCGAAUU